AGUGAACGCUGGCGGCAGGCCUAAUACAUGCAAGUCGAACGGCAGCACAGUAAGAGCUUGCUCUUACGGGUGGCGAGUGGCGGACGGGUGAGGAAUACAUCGGAAUCUACUUUUUCGUGGGGGAUAACGUAGGGAAACUUAUGCUAAUACCGAAUAUGACCUACGGGUGAAAGUAGGGGAUCUUCGGACCUUGCGCGAUUGAAUGAGCCGAUGUCGGAUUAGCUAGUUGGCGGGGUAAAGGCCCACCAAGGCGACGAUCCGUAGCUGGUCUGAGAGGAUGAUCGGCCACACUGGAACUGAGACACGGUCCAGACUCCUACGGGAGGCAGCAGUAGGGAAUAUUGGGCAAUGGGCGCAAGCCUGAUCCAGCCAUACCGCGUGAGUGAAGAAGGCCUUCGGAUUGUAAAGCCCUUUUGUUAGGGAAGAAAAACAGCAGAUUAAUACCCCGCUGUUCUGACGGUACCCAAAGAGUAAGCACCGGCUAACUUCGUG
rnacentral:rRNA from 1 species